UGACCGCUGGCGGCGUGCCUAAUACAUGCACGUCGAGCGAACAGACGCGGAGCUUGCUCCUCUGACGUUAGCGGCGGACGGGUGAGUAACACGUGGAUAACCUACCUAUAAGACUGGGAUAACUUCGGGAAACCGGAGCUAAUACCGGAUAAUAUAUUGAACCGCAUGGUUCAAUAGUGAAAGACGGUUUUGCUGUCACUUAUAGAUGGAUCCGCGCCGCAUUAGCUAGUUGGUAAGGUAACGGCUUACCAAGGCGACGAUGCGUAGCCGACCUGAGAGGGUGAUCGGCCACACUGGAACUGAGACACGGUCCAGACUCCUACGGGAGGCAGCAGUAGGGAAUCUUCCGCAAUGGGCGAAAGCCUGACGGAGCAACGCCGCGUGAGUGAUGAAGGUCUUCGGAUCGUAAAACUCUGUUAUUAGGGAAGAACAAAUGUGUAAGUAACUAUGCACGUCUUGACGGUACCUAAUCAGAAAGCCACGGCUAACUACGUG
rnacentral:rRNA from 1 species